AUAUGAUCUCCUGCUGUCACUCCAUCGCCUUCCCUCCCAGCAAGCUUGAGAUCCUCUCCCCCACAUGGAAUCUUUGAACAUCCCACCUCAAAACUGUUUCGGAUGCUAGAAAUCCAUGGCUUAGAAGUUCCAGCCCUCCAUGAACCGUUGGGUUGAGGUUCUCUGGGUCCUGGGUUAAGGAUUCUGCAGCUGCUUCAGGCUGAUGAGUGAUGGCUGCCAUCGGCCUUAGAGAAUGUGGGGCAGCCCAAAGUAUGGCCUCACACUUUGCCGUCGUUCAAGUUCCAAACUCCUUAUUCUAUAGAUGAAGAAGCUGAUGUGGAAGGAGGGGAAGGCACUGGGCCGAGGAGUUAAGAAAGAGCAGCCUGACAUGUCUCAUGCACCUCCUGUGAGCUGCACGCCAGCCACCGUGUCUGGAGGAAGCUGAUGUGGAAGGAGGGGAAGGCACUGGGCCGAGGAGUUAAGAAAGAGCAGCCUGACAUGGCUCAUGCACCUCCUGUGAGCUGUGCACCAGCCACCAUGUCUGUACACCAUCACGCUGGAUCCCGCAGACAAUCCCAGCCAUUUGAGAAAGGAGGCGCUGCGGUGGGAGCAGCCACCCAACAAGCUGGUAGCACUGUGACCUCCAGGAGCCAAUGCACUGGACCCCAGGGUCUCAAAUAGCAAAGGCCAACCCAAGACCAGCGAGGCCCGGCAGCUCAGGAGGCAGGUGAAAUGGCGUGGCAGGAAGCCACAGGAAUCUCACAGAGGGGAUGAAUCAUUUCAGGCUGGAAGCAUCCUCUUACAGAAGUUUCCUUUUCACCACUUGAGAGGUAGAACAGAGUAAAUUAUUAGUAGUGCUGGAAAAGCCAGUCGCCCUCCCAUGUGAGCAAUGCCGGGAACUUCUCAGAGAGCUUUCCUAUCUGACAUUGUUCGAGACACUGGGAUGCCCUAAAAAGGUGGACAGUGAGGCUCAGCCUGUCCUGUUUCAUUAAGGAAGAAAUUGGGGCUCAGGGAGAUGAUCUGGCCUGAGGCCACACAGCCCAACCUCCAGGACUCCUGGUUUAGCACCUGGUGCCUUGGGUCUCUCUUCCCUCUGGGGCUGGAAAAGCAGGACCGGGAACUGUUUUUUGGCUUGUCUUCCAGAGAAAGAGAAUCAUUGUCUCGCCUUCUGUGUUCCACUCUCCUCCUCACUGGUGCCUUUUGUCCCCGCCUGCUCUGUGCCAGCAUUGAGCCUGGGGCUUUCCACACACCAUCUCACGAACCUCGCAAAAGCUACAUGAAGGGGGAGCGCUCAUUGGCCCAUUGUGCAGGCAAGGAAACUAAGGCUCAGAGCAGUUGAGGGUUCAAUGCCAAGACUGGACUCCAAAUGUCUGCUCUUUCCUCUCAGCUAUAAGCCUCUUGCCUUCAAGCUCUCCUGCACCGGUUAUUAAGCCAAAGCGGCAUCUGCUGUGGCCAUGUUUUGCGGGGGAGAGAAAGUCAUCGCUCAGUCUCCUUUGCUGAAAAUGGGUGUAAUGAUCAAAGUACUCCCUUCCUACAGUCCUUGGGUAGACUGAGAUCAUGGCUAGGAAACGGAGCCUGACACAUGAGCAGUCUUAUUAUUUUAUCGCCCUUGCUGCCACCGCUCCUGUUAUGUUGAUCUAACACAAGACAAAAACAGAGUCUUGAGAAUCUCAACGUGCUGUAUCCAAGGCAGGGACUGAGGGGGUUGGGCUGCUGCCACGAGGACUGGGGGGAAUUGAGGGCUCAGGGGAGGCAGGAAGAUGAAGGACUGUUAAGGUUUUACGUUUUCCGGCAGGAUUUAGUGGGAGUGGAGCCUGCAGAGGGGGUGGCACAGGGCUGGGACCAGCACGGGGCUGGAUUCCAAGCAUCCCAAAGGCCAGACCCCAGUGCCUGUGCCUCUGAGCCCGGGUCCAGCCCUGCCACCCAGGCCCCAUCUGCCUGCAUUGCCAUCUCCUUGGCUUGUUAACUCGGUCAGUCCCUGGGAUUUUAUCAGGCGCCUCUGAGGUGCCCAUUUCUGGGCAGCAGCAUUGCAGGAAGAGGAAAGGCCUGUGACAGAGCAGGGCACCAGCUCAGGUCCCAACGGGGCUGAGUUCUAGCCCAGCUCCCUCACUUCCACGCAUGGGCUCAGAACACACUGGAUCCACAAUAAAGCUUUUGAUGAAUG
rnacentral:lncRNA from 1 species